UGUGCUGUAACAGCCUGUUACAUGUAGCAUUUUCCUACCACCUAGUGGCAGAUUUAGGUAGAUUCUUUAUUGCAGGUUCUGGUGUCAUCACACAGGAAGCAAAGGAACCAGUAAGUGUGUUCAUUGUUCAGGCACAUGCUGAUGGACUUCUCCACAAUCUGUUCGCAUCUGUUGUCUUUCGUGGCAUCAUCUUUUCACAACCUCCAACAUGAUUAAACCUGUGGACAACAUUAACUGUCUUCAGAGUCAUGAUGUAAAGAAGAUGUUGACAUUUGCUGUCAGUGCUCUGAGCCAGUAAGAGAGAAAGACAUGAAGACAUUGGAUUGUUUCUAUUUUUGGAGCUUCCAGCUGCUGUAAAGAGGAACCCUAUGUGUAGCAAAGCCACUGAUGGAAGCAUGGGAAGAUUCAUCAAGAGAUGGUUCCAGCUUGCAACGGAAUGGGAUUCAUUUAUUUGUUUAUUUUCAUGCAGGUCUGUAUACAAGUCACCAAUUUCAAUAAAUUGACAGUUAAGUGUUUAUAAAUAUCAAUUUUAAUUCAAGCUAAAGUUACAUGAAUUAAGAAUGUAUGUUUGUGAUCAUAUUAAAAUUAAAAUAUAUAAAACUUU